GAGUAUCCUCCGCGCUAGUGUAGGCUGUCGGUCCUCGGGGCACCACAGGGCAGGGCAAGAAGGUUGUCCUAUAACCCAGUCAUGGGUUAUGCAGAAGCAUUCAAGAGCACUAGCCUUGCAAAACUACAGUUCCAAGGACUGCAUGUGAUAUUUGAAAUGUAUGUUUUAUGAACUCUUAAAGAAAUACCACACAUAAUCUCUGCUUAUAUUGUAACAAACUAUAAACAACUGGUAUAAUGUUUACCUCAUGAGUGCUGUUUGAACCAUAGAAGCUCUGUCCUUCAGAAUAAUUUAAAAUUAUUUUUAAAAUUAA
ensembl:antisense 4930445N08Rik RIKEN cDNA 4930445N08 gene